GGGGGGGGGGGGGGGGGGGGUGAGCGGGUGCAGGGCGAGGGGAAGGGCCUCUUUCGGGGGGUACGCGAGUGGCGAACGGGUGGGUAACCCGUGAGUAACCUCCCCUUGACUUUGGGAUAACUUCAGUAAACUGGGGCUAAUACCUGAUAGAAGCACCUGCUGCAUGGUGGGGGUUGGAAAUUUUCGGCGGUUGGGGAUGGACUCGCGGCUUAUCAGCUUGUUGGUGGGGUAGUGGCUUACCAAGGCUUUGACGGGUAGCCGUCCUGAGAGGGUGACGGGCCACAUUGGGACGGAGAUACGGCCAAGAUUCCUAGGGGAGGAAGAAGGGGGGAAUAUUGAACAAGGGGUGGAGGCCGGAGGAAGGACGGCCGGGUGCGGGAUGACGGCCUUGGGGUUGUAAACCGCGUUGGCUCAUGACGAAGCUUUGUGUGACGGUAGUGGGUAAAGAAGCACCGGCUAACUACGUG
rnacentral:rRNA from 1 species